rnacentral:rRNA from 1 species
GACGAACGCUGACGGCGUGCUUAACACAUGCAAGUCGAAGGGAGUGGCGAACGGGUGAGUAACACGUGAGUAACCUGCCCUUUUCUGUGGGAUCAGCCUGGGACACUGGGUCUAAUACUGGAUGGAUUGGGAUGGGCUCGCGGCGUAUCAGCUUGUUGGUGGGGUGAUGGCUUACCAAGGCUUUGACGGGUAGCCGGCCUGAGAGGGUGGGCUGGCACACUGGGACGGAGAGACGGCCCAGACUGCUACGGGAGGGAGAAGUGGGGGAUAUUGCACAAUGGACGAAAGGCUGAUGCAGCGACUUCGUGUGGGGGAUGAAGGCCUUCGGGUUGUAAACUCCUUUCGCCCGCGGAAUGGUAGUGAGUAAAGAAGCGCCGGUUAACUACGUGCCAGCAGCCGCGGUAAUUC